AUGGAGUUUGAUCUUGGCUCACUGUAACCUCUGCCUCCUGGGUUCAAGAGAUUCUCCUGCCUCAGCCUCCCAAGUGGCUGCAAUUACAGUUAUAAAUGAAAAUAACCGGAAUUCAAAUAUACAGCCAGGAAGAAGUGUGACUACUCAAGGACUCGAAGAAAACAGAUAAACUGAAGAAAACAGGUGACGCCUUGGACAGAGAAGAUGCUGGCUGGUGGAAGACGGGGAAUUCCUAUUGCUGUGAUGGAAGAUGGAGGAAUGGGGACCACACUGGGUUUACCAUCAGGAGCCUGGGUUUCCAGUGCAGUCUCUGUAGAGAGUGGGCCAGAUGAUUUUUGAGGCCUCUUCCUCUUCUGACAUACAUAGAUGUUACUUAUUUAUACACUCAUUCAUUCAUUCAUUCAGCAAAUAUUAACUGAGCACAUUGUUUGGGGCAGGUAUUGUUAUAGACACCAGGAUAAAAUCACAGAGCCCAAUCUUUUCUCCCAUGGAGCUUACUCUCCAGUGAGAAGAGGAAGAUAAUAUAUAAAAUAAAUUAUCUAGUAUAUUAGGAUGUGAUAGGAGCCAUGGAGAAAAUGAAGGGGAGUAGACUUGGGUUGUAAUGGCCUAUAUGGUGGUAUGGUUGAGAAAUGGCUGACUUCCAUUCCCAGUGACAGCAUUUAUCACCAUCAAUAACUACCCUUUAGUUACAAAGGAGAGAAAAUUAAGUCAAAUUGGCCUAAGGACAAAAGGAAAAAUUUGGCUGCAUAUAACCCAGAAGUCCAGCAGUUGAUAGUUUUAAUGGACACUGCUGUUUUUCCUCCCAGCAUUCACGCCAUCAAUCCUUUCUGAUAUAACUCAGAUUUUCCUGUGGGUAUCUAAUGCUUUCUCAUUUGACUUCUGUACUUCCAGAGAAGGAGACCCCACCCCCAGCUCCAGGGCUUAAGCCAAUCAGCGCAUUCCCUUCCCUCACUGAUCACAGUGAUUGGUUCAUAUGUAAGAAAGGGCCCAAUGGAGCAGAAUCUCAGAAAUGCGGCUUGGGAGCUUUUAUUUACUGAUCUAGGAGGGAAAAAAUUGUUACUGGCAGCUAUCUCAUAACUAUGAGGAGGCCUGGAAAUAAAAACCUAGGAUCUUGAUGGCACCAUUGAUCCACUGAAUAAACACACUCGAGUACAUCUAUCUUAUGACUAGAUGUAUAAAUGAGCCAAAAAACUUAGAACGCUUCAAGUUGGGCUUUCUGUUAUUUAUAAUAGAUAAAAUAUCAAGUUCAGGCACAGUUACAUCUAGGUGCUCAUCAAUGACGUCAUAGAGCUCCAGUUUCCUUCUGUGAGGGCUUCACUCUCAGCCUGGCUGCCCCCACAAUGAUCACCAGCAGCCUCAUUCCUGGCAGCACUCGCCAAAGCUCUGCACUCCUCCUCCCUGGGUUACCUUGGUUCAUGUGCCCAUCUCUGAACGCAGCCCUGAGGUCAGGGGGAUAGAAUGGUGAUGAUUCAGGGACAGAUGCUCUCUCCCGGGGCCAGGUCUGCCACCUGCUUCAUUUGAAUUACAUCGUUGGAGAAAGUGGGUUGUUCAGAUUAAAGAGAUGCUACCAGAAAGGUGGUUCAUGGAUGCUGGAAAAUCAGAAAUCAUAAAAAUUCACUAUAAUACCUCACUUCCGACUUUGGGGUCUUACUUUCCUUAUGUGUAAAAUAAAAACGUUAAGAUAAAGUGAUGUUCCCCAAUAAUUUUGCUAUCAAGGAUCUCCUCUCUUGCCUUCCUUCGUUGCUCAUUGUGGAAACCUAAUUAAACUAAACUUGAAAGA